GAAAGCAGCCAGGGGCGCCCAGCGGACCGGCCGGUCCACGGGCUGAGAGGCACCCUCGGAACCUGAUCCAGUCAAUACUGGCGUAGGGAGGCUGAAUCGGCGGGCA
rnacentral:ncRNA from 2 species